CAUGCUAUCUAAUCUUCAGGCUUUUGUCAGAGGUCGAUGCGGUUGUUCAGUCCGACCUGAUAACUUUGUAGAAGGUCAGUGGAGCCAUACGGUUAGGUUGGAAUCUUUUGAUUGCUUUUGGUGCAGAGUUGGUGCUAAUUUUGUAGAAAAGCAUCUUUUUGGUACAACGUCGAUGCUGGCUUUGCAAGAAUUGCAAGAAUUGCCAG
rnacentral:lncRNA from 1 species